rnacentral:rRNA from 1 species
AUUGAACGCUGGCGGUAGGCCUAACACAUGCAAGUCGAACGCGAAAGUCCUUCGGGAUGAGUAGAGUGGCGGACGGGUGAGUAACGCGUAGGAAUCUAUCCUGUAGUGGGGGAUAACGUUUCGAAAGGAACGCUAAUACCGCAUACGCCCCACGGGGGAAAGCGGGGGAUCUUCGGACCUCGUGCUAUAGGAGGAGCCUGCGUCGGAUUAGCUAGUUGGUGAGGUAAAGGCUCACCAAGGCGACGAUCCGUAGCUGGUCUGAGAGGAUGAUCAGCCACACCGGAGCUGAGACACGGUCCGGACUCCUACGGGAGGCAGCAGUGGGGAAUAUUGCGCAAUGGGCGAAAGCCUGACGCAGCCAUACCGCGUGUGUGAAGAAGGCCUUCGGGUUGUAAAGCACUUUCAGUGGGGAGGAAAAGCUGGUGGCUAAUAUCCAUCGGCCGUGACGCUACCCACAGAAGAAGCACCGGCUAAUUCCGUGCCAGCCGCCGCCGUAA